AUUGCACGCUGGCGGCAUGCCUAACACAUGCAAGUCGAACGGUAACAGGCCUUCGGGCGCUGACGAGUGGCGGACGGGUGAGUAACGCGUGGGAAUCUGCCUAGUAGUGGGGGACAACCUGGGGGAAACUCAGGCUAAUACCGCAUACGCCCUACGGGGGAAAGCAGGGGAUCUUCGGACCUUGCGCUAUUAGAUGAGCCUGCGUCGGAUUAGCUUGUUGGUGGGGUAAAGGCCUACCAAGGCGACGAUCCGUAGCUGGUUUGAGAGGACGAUCAACCACACCGGGACUGAGACACGGCCCAGACUCCUACGGGAGGCAGCAGUGGGGAAUAUUGGACAAUGGGGGCAACCCUGAUCCAGCAAUGCCGCGUGUGUGAAGAAGGCCUGCGGGUUGUAAAGCACUUUCGGAUGGGAAGAAAAGCUCAAGGCUAAUAUCCUUGAGUCUUGACGUUACUAUCAGAAGAAGCACCGGCUAACUCUGUG
rnacentral:rRNA from 1 species